rnacentral:rRNA from 1 species
GAUGAACGCUGGCGGCGUGCUUAACACAUGCAAGUCGAGCGAGAAGUUUUGAAAAGAUUCUUCGGAUGAAAUUUAAAAUGGAAAGCGGCGGACGGGUGAGUAACGCGUAGGCAACCUGCCCCAUACAAAGGGAUAGCAUUUGGAAACGAAUAUUAAUACCUUAUGAAACUUAACUAGUGCAUGCUAGGUAGGUCAAAGAUUUAUCGGUAUGGGAUGGGCCUGCGUCUGAUUAGCUAGUUGGUGAGGUAACGGCUCACCAAGGCGACGAUCAGUAGCCGACCUGAGAGGGUGAACGGCCACAUUGGAACUGAGACACGGUCCAAACUCCUACGGGAGGCAGCAGUGGGGAAUAUUGCACAAUGGGGGAAACCCUGAUGCAGCAACGCCGCGUGAACGAUGAAGGCCUUUGGGUCGUAAAGUUCUGUUCUAGGUGAUGAAAACUGACAGUAACCUAGGAGAAAGCCCCGGCUAACUCCGUGCCAGCAGCCGCGGUAAUACGGAGGGGGCAAGCGUUAUCCGGAAUUAUUGGGCGUAAAGGGUACGUAGGUGGCCUUUUAAGCGUAGGGUAUAAGGCAAUGGCUCAACCAUUGUUCGCCCUAUGAACUGGAAGGCUUGAGUGCAGGAGAGGAAAGCGGAAUUCCUAGUGUAGCGGUGGAAUGCAUAGAUAUUAGGAGGAACAUCAGUCGGCGAAGGCGGCUUUGCUGGACUGCAACUGACACUGAGGUACGAAAGCGUGGGGAGCAAACAGGAUUAGAUACCCUGGUAGUCCACGCCGUAAACGAUGAGCACUAGGUGUCGGGGUCGUAAGGCUUCGGUGCCGUAGUUAACGCAUUAAGUGCUCCGCCUGGGGAGUACGCACGCAAGUGUGAAACUCAAAGGAAUUGACGGGGACCCGCACAAGCAGCGGAGCAUGUGGUUUAAUGCGAAGCAACGCGAAGACUUACCAUGACUUGACAUCCUUCUGAGCGGUCUCUAGUACG